rnacentral:lncRNA from 7 species
GGGAGGAAAACCUGUUUUCCAGCCUUCUGAUGAGAGGAAAAGUACAAAUGAGCUGCAGAAAGCAGGAACCGGCACCUGCAGCAUGAUCCUGCCUGAACAUUUCUGACUACCCAAGAAAUAUUCAAGUUACUCAGUGCUGUGAAUUCCAUUUUGGACUAGGAUGGACUUUAGUUAAUGAUGGAAAUGUGCAGUUUUGACACCCUCUCUAUUACGGAACUAAACAAAGCCACUGGGCUCUCUAAACAAUAAUAGAAGUUAUUCUAGUCUCCAUGGGAAUAAUUAGGUAAGGACAUGGCUACAGAUGCCAACUAGAUCUCUCUUACCUCCCGAAGUCCAUGCUUCUGUUUGCAGAGUUCCUUUGCUACAAGAGUGAAUAAACAAAUUAGAUCUUUUUAACAAAAAUUGCCUGAAGAGACGGUUAAUCUAGAUUGCAUGUGCAGUUACUGCUGUCAUAAAAACACACCCUUCAAGAGCAACAGUUCUUUCACGAUAAAAAGGAUGACCAGAGCUUACUGAAGGAUGAAUACUGGGGCUGAAGCCUGGGAAUACAGAACUCAGAGGAACUUUAUUUCUGAACUGUGGGCUUUCAAGUGAUGUUUAAAAUAGUACUGAAUAGAGUCUAGGAAAAAGAAAUGGACAACAGCAUCUUUAGAUAGUUGUUCUAGUCUCUGAGGUCUUUCCUUCUAAAUAAAUACUUUCUUUAAGGAAGUAAUAAUGCUGUCUUAAAAGACGGGCAGUGUUUCAAUCCAGUAAUCCCACUGUGGGACAGUUUAGCACAAGGAAUUCACAGUUUAACUACAGAAUAAAGCUGUUUAAAGAUGUACAAGGAAACAGUGACCUAAUCAACAUUGCUAGGCUAACACUACUGCAUAUACUGACUAUAUGACAAAUGAUGGCACUGACAAAAUGUUGAGAAGAAAAUGUGCUUUUACACCUGAAUUGCCUUUUACAGUCCUAGCAUCACAGCAGGUGAAAAUGAAAGGAAGCAGAAAUGUCUCCCAUGGAUACUACUGGCCAAAAUGUUUAGAUUUCAACCCCGUACUGUGCACGCAUACUGACAGUGGAGUAUGCAUGAGCAAAUAAAGUGGAAAUAAAUAUUUCAGCAGUCACACAUCAUAGCAGUAGUGAGAAUCAGAACCUUGUGUUUGUAGCUCUUUGUCACUUCUGUGUAGGAAUAUUUGAAAGCCUUAAUUGUCUACUGGCCUAACCAUGAGGUGAUGAUCACUGCCUACAAAGUGCUGAAAGCUCUCAGAAACUGCUGCAGUCAUAGUGAAGAGAUGCUGAUACUCAGUACUUUACAGCAGCAGCAACAUCCUUCCUCUCCAGACCCAUACUGUUUUUUGGAGGUCCUCAUUGCAACCAACAGUUGUCACUAAACAAACAAUAGCAGUUCAUCUGGAGUUCCAGCUGUGAUUGGGCUGACAGCUUCAAUUUCCAAGCUUGGCAUCAAUGAAAUCUGUUUCUGACUCUGGAGAAGAAACAACGCAUUUGAUCUUGACUUGUGGAAGACCACUCCUUCCCCCAUCCUCCCACGCCUUUCAUGUCUCCUUGAAUUGAAUCUGCUGCUGCCAGCACGCAGGGGAAGCCAGGUCUGGUGAUGUCAACAGGACUCCUCCAAGCAGACUACGUGUCAUCAAAGAGCUGUUCCUUGGAGGAAACCUGGAGCAGCGCCUGGAGCUAGUGGAGGCUGCCAGCAAUCUGAGAAGCAUUUCUCUUGUUGAAGGGGGCCAAGGGGCACUGGUGGUCUGUCCUUCUCAUCAAAUCAGUCAGACACUAAGGAGCAAUUCCAGCAAAAUAGUCCAAAGUAAGCACCAUGAUUCUGAGAAGGGUAAAUGACACUAGAAGCUGAAGAAGUCCUUGAAGAAAUAAUGUGGUAAUAUUUCACUAGGCCACCUACUGCCACAGUUAAACAGCUGCACUAUGUACAAAUGUAAGAUGAGGCGGUCUUAAGAAGCAGGGAAUCCCAGCAGGAAGUGUGGGCAAUAUUCUUAUACCUCACUUUAAAGCAGGCAAAAAAAUCCCUCCAGAAAUCCUGGCCCAGAAAUCUGAAAAACAAAUUAUGAGGAAAAUUUACCUAUGCUAAAGAGUGUUUGAAGAUGAUUGGAAGACACAUUAGUAGAAAGGAGCAGAAUAGUACUGCAUGGUUCUCCUUUUAACCAGCAGCAGACCUAGAGAUUAUCUAAUUAUCUGCAAUUGUCCAGUACCUUUUUUUUAUUAAAAUCAGGGUGCUGGG